AAUAGAUACCCGGGUAGUCCACGCCGUAAACGAUGAGUGCUAAGUGUUAGAGGGUUUCCGCCCUUUAGUGCUGCAGCAAACGCAUUAAGCACUCCGCCUGGGGAGUACGGUCGCAAGACUGAAACUCAAAGGAAUUGACGGGGGCCCGCACAAGCGGUGGAGCAUGUGGUUUAAUUCGAAGCAACGCGAAGAACCUUACCAGGUCUUGACAUCCUUAUGCCAUCUCUAGAGAUAGAGCUUUCCCUUCGGGGACAUAAGUGACAGGUGGUGCAUGGUUGUCGUCAGCUCGUGUCGUGAGAUGUUGGGUUAAGUCCCGCAACGAGCGCAACCCUUGAUCUUAGUUGCCAGCAUUCAGUUGGGCACUCUAAGGUGACUGCCGGUGACAAACCGGAGGAAGGUGGGGAUGACGUCAAAUCAUCAUGCCCCUUAUGACCUGGGCUACACACGUGCUACAAUGGAUGGUACAAAGGGCAGCGAAACCGCGAGGUUAAGCCAAUCCCAUAAAACCAUUCUCAGUUCGGAUUGCAGG
rnacentral:rRNA from 1 species